rnacentral:lncRNA from 1 species
AUCACCGUCUUCUGCGUCGCUCACGCUGGGAGCUGUAGACCGGAGCUCGAGAACUACUUUUUAAUUAGGGCUUGGGAUUAGCCAUUGCCAUAGAAUGGAGUGAAUAACAGAGAAGAGAAACUGUGACUAAUUUAAGAGUGAUAAUCAUACAAUUGCAAUUUGGAGAAGAUUGACCUGAAAGAACUGCAGAGGAAGCAUGCUCUUUGUGAAGAAGAAGGGAGCAGAGAUGAAGUCUUCCUCUCCUACUGCCUCUGGGCAGAGGUGAAGAACUUUUGAAGGCAUGCACCAUGGGGUUAUGAGACCCACUCAGCUAGACAUAUGUUUUGGAAGAUAUGUGUGUUACAGCAGCUUCUUAGGUAACUAACUAGUAGCGAAAGCCUUGCACUUUGGGGACUAUUUUGUUCUUAUAUGUAUCUGUUCAACCACAAACAGGCAUAACUUGAUUCUCUAAAAAAGUGGACAUUUGAGGUUCUAAACUAGGGAGAGCCAGUCGAGGUGGCAGGCGUCUGUAGUCCUAGCUAAUUGGGAGACCAAGGUGAGAGGAUCACUUGAGUCUAGGAG